rnacentral:lncRNA from 9 species
GGGAGGUGGGAGAGGUGAGCUCGACAAUGUCGGGGUGGCAGCCUCUCCUCGUUUGCCCUCUCUCCUCUGAGAACCUGUUAGUCCAGCUUGCGGGGGUCGCGGCCGGCAAGAAAACAAAUGAUGAAUGUGAAGGAACAGUAACACGGAAUUUUUACCAUUCACCAGUCGCAAAACUGUUUAGAGGGAAAAAGUUUAAGUCCCAGUUUGUUAAGGAAAUCGAAGGGUGUGAUCAACAGCUCGUGCACUGCCGUGCUGCGAACCCAGAGUUCAGGCACUGACGUGGCGCUUCUGAUGGGUAGAGCACAUGAAGGAAGAGUGGACUCAAGCUCGGCCUGGCUUACCAGGUUUCUUGACUGUGAUGAUCUACAAGAGCAGGUCUGCGUCUUACAUACACUGAAAAUGAAGAAUUCAGAACUCAAUUCUAAACUUAAGCCAAGGUGCAAAAGAAGGAAGAAAAGAUCAAGGAACUCAGAACAGAAUUCCAGCAAAACUGAACCCAGACUUUCUGAGGACUUCAAGCCUGGGAGGAAGCCUCUUAUAUACCUCUGAGGGACUGUUCCAAAGAGGAGUGAGCCCAUGUGCCUGAUUGGCACCUCCUACCUCUCCCAUCUGGAUAGGCUUCUGUGCUCCUGCUUCCUCAAGAGCAGUCUCUGGUGGGUUACCCACAUACACAGGUAGGACUAAAACCACAGCUGAGCUCCAGGGGCCCUGUGACUAAGCAAGAAGAGAUGAAAUAUCUCCUCCCAGCUGAGAGAACCACAGAUUUACAUGCUGGCUUUGUAAAUUCAGUGUCUGUGGAACAUCAGACAAUAAGUGCUUCCACAGUUGAGACAGGUCUGGCUUUAGCAUCUCUGGGCUCUGUGAAUACAUACACACAGCGGUUGGUCCAGGCCAGAGUCUGAGCUGCCUCCAUAGCUCCUACAGCAGGCCCAGGGGCACCACUACUGCAGUCUUGGACCUGACAUCAUCAGAUAUGAGCUGAUGGCCUGGUGGCAACAAUGCCUGACACACACCAGGGCCAGUAGCCAGCAUAGCAGUGCCAACAACGGUGUACUUUGUGAACCUGCACAAGUGAAAGGUGACACACCAGAACAGAUGAACAACUUCAGUGGAAGGAUACUCAAGGGCUCCUCUCUUAGUGGGAGUGCUCCAAUCCUGCCUACCUCGCACCACAGAGCAGAAACAUAGCUCAGAAACAGAUCUGGGAGGCUACGACCCCAACAUCUAGGGUGCAUACCCUGCCCCUGACAGAACAGUGACAACCGCAGGGCACAGAAGAGGCCCCACUCAAUAUCCACUGUAGGCCUUGGUAACCACAGCAUCAGCCACACAUACUAUGAAAGGGAUAAUGGCCAGCAUACACUGAGGAAACAGACGGCAGGCAUCCACAUUAAAAACAGCCCUCACACCAAAAAA